AAUACAGUGUACCGGUACUAGCCCGAUGCAGUACUGGUACCCAGUCCCAGUACCGAUACUCCACUUAGGCACCGAUACUCAACACUCAAAACCUGCAAUUUGCAUAUUUCAGUAUCAGAACUCCAAUCUCACACUCCGCUGAGUCCGUUUUUCCAUCCAUUUUGCGCCAAACAACUCCAACUCGUCCUGACACUCUACAGAUGUGUCGACAAGCCACAAUUACUGCAAUCAUUCCAACCGCUAAAACCCCAGGGACACUACAUUCUCCUCCACUACAAAAAGUUUCGUCCUCGAAACUUAAACUCAUACCUCAACACGGUGCCUCAAAUAGGUAGGGGUAAGAUGCCUGCAUCACAGCCUCCGGCUUCCAAGUCGUCUCACGCUCCUCAUGAUUACUCCACUGCACUUUCACAUACGGUAUGACCCAUUGCGCAAUUCUUUCAUCUCGUGA
rnacentral:lncRNA from 1 species